UAAUGGGUUUCGUAAGUGAACCUGCGGAAGGAUCAUUUACCGAAGUUGAUUCCGGGCUCCGGCCCGAUCCCUCCCCACCCUUUUGUGUACCUACCUCUGUUUGCUUUGGCGGGCCGCGGUCCCCCGCGGCCGCCCCCCCUCCCCGGGGGGUGGCUAGUGCCCGCCAGAGGACCAUCAAACUCCAGUCAGUGAACGUCGCAGUCUGAAAAAACAUUCAAUAAACUAAAACUUUCAACAACGGAUCUCUUGGUUCUGGCAUCGAUGAAGAACGCAGCGAAAUGCGAUAAGUAAUGUGAAUUGCAGAAUUCAGUGAAUCAUCGAAUCUUUGAACGCACAUUGCGCCCCUUGGUAUUCCGAGGGGCAUGCCUGUUCGAGCGUCAUUACAACCCUCAAGCUCUGCUUGGUAUUGGGCACCGCCCUUCUUCGGGCGCGCCUCAAAGACCUCGGCGGUGGCUGUCUUGCCUCAAGCGUAGUAGAAUACACCUCGCUUCGGAGCGCAGGGCGUCGCCCGCCGGACGAACCUUCUGAACUUUUCUCAAGGUUGACCUCGGAUCAGGUAGGGAUACCCGCUGAACUUAAGCAUACU
rnacentral:rRNA from 1 species